rnacentral:rRNA from 1 species
GGGGAAUUUUCCGCAAUGGGCGAAAGCCUGACGGAGCAAUACCGCGUGAGGGAGGAAGGCUCUUGGGUUGUAAACCUCUUUUCUCAGGGAAUAAGAACUGAAGGUACCUGAGGAAUCAGCAUCGGCUAACUCCGUGCCAGCAGCCGCGGUAAUACGGAGGAGGCAAGCGUUAUCCGGAAUUAUUGGGCGUAAAGCGUCCGCAGGUGGUUUANUAAGUCUGCUGUUAAAGCGCGGGGCUUAACUCCGUAUCGGCAGUGGAAACUACUAGACUANAGUGUGGUAGGGGUAGAGGGAAUUCCCACUGUACNCGGCNGAAAUGCGUANAUAUUGGGANCAACNNCCUNGGUGAAAGCGCUNCUANNUGGNCCAUANCCUGAA